rnacentral:rRNA from 2 species
AUGGGGGGAAUACAAGUUAGGCCGAACCGGGUUGAGUAACACGUGAGCAACCUGCCCCUGACUCUGGGAUAAGCGCUGGAAACGGCGUCUAAUACUGGAUACGAACCACGGAGGCAUCUUCAGUGGUUGGAAAGAUUUUUUGGUUGGGGAUGGGCUCGCGGCCUAUCAGCUUGUUGGUGAGGUAAUGGCUCACCAAGGCGUCGACGGGUAGCCGGCCUGAGAGGGUGACCGGCCACACUGGGACUGAGACACGGCCCAGACUCCUACGGGAGGCAGCAGUGGGGAAUAUUGCACAAUGGGCGGAAGCCUGAUGCAGCAACGCCGCGUGAGGGAUGACGGCCUUCGGGUUGUAAACCUCUUUUAGCAGGGAAGAAGCGAAAGUGACGGUACCUGCAGAAAAAGCGCCGGCUAACUACGUGCCAGCAGCCGCGGUAAUACGUAGGGCGCAAGCGUUAUCCGGAAUUAUUGGGCGUAAAGAGCUCGUAGGCGGUUUGUCGCGUCUGCUGUGAAAUCCCGAGGCUCAACCUCGGGCCUGCAGUGGGUACGGGCAGACUAGAGUGCGGUAGGGGAGAUUGGAAUUCCUGGUGUAGCGGUGGAAUGCGCAGAUAUCAGGAGGAACACCGAUGGCGAAGGCAGAUCUCUGGGCCGUAACUGACGCUGAGGAGCGAAAGGGUGGGGAGCAAACAGGCUUAGAUACCCUGGUAGUCCACCCCGUAAACGUUGGGAACUAGUUGUGGGGUCCCAUUCCACGGAUUCCGUGACGCAGCUAACGCAUUAAGUUCCCCCGCCUGAGGGAGUACGGCCCGCAAGGCUAAAACUCAAGGAAUUGACGGGGACCCGCACAAGCGGCGGAGCAUGCGGAUUAAUUCGAUGCAACGCGAAGAACCUUACCAAGGCUUGACAUAUACGAGAACGGGCCAGAAAAUGUCCACUCUUUGACACUCGU